GCACCGGUGACUCCGGCAGCUCAGUCACAGCAGAUACCGGCCGCUCAAUCACGUACACCUGUCCAAGCGGAGGUAGCAAGGCUCUUUGCGCCAUAUAACAUUGGAGCCAGAAGGAAUAUGACGAGACGACCAGCACAAGUCCAAGUUAGCCGAAGAAGCUACACACACACUGUCUGUUGUUUGGCUGACCACAAUGCGGAUAAAAUUCCAAGCGUACUGUUUAAAGCUGAACUUCUUACUUCAGGACUUGGAGAGCAAAAAGUAACAUUUUCAGGGAAUGACCACGAUCCCAUGGUUAUAACAAAUAAACUGAUGGAAGUGUUUCCGAAGCUCCAACAAGGGGGAGGCUUUGAAUUUCUAAAACUUGUAGGAUCUACUCGCAGUCGAAAUCUUGCGUUGCUUCAGUGUCCCAGCACUGGAUACACCCUUGCCUAUCUGAAAGAUCCAUCGACGAUGAUUGGACAGGCUACAAUCUACAUACGUCCACUUCAACAGGAUCUACCCUUAGAUUGUGAGAGCUCACGUCCUGCCUCUGGUCCAGUCAUCCCCUGCAUCACUUGUCAGAAGGAAGUUCCCUUUUCAGAGAUGAAGCUGCACAGAUUGAGCUGCAAUGGGACACCCAUGCAGGAAUCAGAAAGAGAACAAGAGGGAGGCCAAAGUGAAGAAAAUGAUAGUGAGACAGCCCUAGUCAGUGACAGUGUUCCAGUGAGGCCUGAAACAUCAGCUGAGAGUGCAGUAGUACCGGCAGUGAUUGUCAACGAGGAGUUGGAUCGCAAAGAAACAGACAGUGGUUUGUGUCAUCACAAUAGUGUUGCUAUAAGAUUGUGUGUAACUGAAAAGUUAAUAGAAAGAUAACACCUGUAGGAUAUAAUUAGAUAAGAUAAUACAGUUACAGACAAUUAAUAACAUGCAACUGGGUUUUUCUAUUUUUCUAAUAUUUAGUUGUAGUUGUUUAGUAGUGCUGUUUUUAUGUCAACUCAGCGUUGUGACAGGUUCUGAAGAUGUUGGGUCUCACGUUUUGUCAGUGAAAUGAACAGAAUUUUCCUCCUGUUCUGUAGAGUGAGAGGAUAUCUGUAUAUGCAGGUAACAUGCCAACUCACAAUAUGUCUCUCUGUAAUAGAUAACUUUAUUGUUGUUGUUUGUUUAGAAUGGAAGCUUUGGCCCAUUCUGUGGACCAUAAUGAGACAGGAAGCUUCAAAGAAACAGCUUUUUUUCCUUUCUUUUAAAAGGAAAGUAAACUUUCAGUUUUUCCUUGCUUGUUCUAACA